GGAUUAGAUACCCUGGUAGUCCACGCCGUAAACGAUGAUUACUCGUUGCAGGCGAUAUACAGUCUGUGACCAAGCGAAAGCAUUAAGUAAUCCACCUGGGGAGUACGUUGGCAACGAUGAAACUCAAAGGAAUUGACGGGGGCCCGCACAAGCGGAGGAACAUGUGGUUUAAUUCGAUGAUACGCGAGGAACCUUACCUGGAUUUAAAUGUGCUUGACCGCCUCAGAAAAGGGGUUUUCCGCAAGGACAAGUACAAGGUGCUGCAUGGUCGUCGUCAGCUCGUGCCG
rnacentral:rRNA from 1 species